rnacentral:rRNA from 1 species
UCGAGGGGCAGCGGGGGAGUAGCAAUACUCCCGCCGGCGACCGGCGCACGGGUGAGUAACACGUAUGAAACCUGCCCGUAGCAGGGGGAUAAGCGGAAGAAAUUCCGUCUAAUACCGCGUAACAACCCGAGGAGGCAUCUCCUCGGGUUUAAAGGAAGCGAUUCCGGCUACGGAUGGUCAUGCGUCGCAUUAGCUAGUUGGCGGGGUAACGGCCCACCAAGGCGACGAUGCGUAGGGGUUCUGAGAGGAAGGUCCCCCACACUGGUACUGAGACACGGACCAGACUCCUACGGGAGGCAGCAGUGAGGAAUAUUGGUCAAUGGCCGCAGGGCUGAACCAGCCAAGUCGCGUGAGGGAUGACGGUCCUAUGGAUUGUAAACCUCUUUUGUCAGGAAGCAAAGGGCGCCACGUGUGGCGUUUUGCGAGUACCUGAAGAAAAAGCAUCGGCUAACUCCGUGCCAGCAGCCGCGGUAAUACGGAGGAUGCGAGCGUUAUCCGGAUUUAUUGGGUUUAAAGGGUGCGCAGGCGGAAUGUCAAGUCAGCGGUAAAAUUUCGGGGCUCAACCCCGUCGUGCCGUUGAAACUGGCGUUCUUGAGUGAGCGAGAAGUAUGCGGAAUGCGUGGUGUAGCGGUGAAAUGCAUAGAUAUCACGCAGAACUCCGAUUGCGAAGGCAGCAUACCGGCGCUCAACUGACGCUCAUGCACGAAAGCGUGGGUAUCGAACAGGAUUAGAUACCCUGGUAGUCCACGCAGUAAACGAUGAAUACUAACUGUCCGGGCAGAAUGAUGCCUGGGUGGUACAGCGAAAGCGUUAAGUAUUCCACCUGGGGAGUACGCCGGCAACGGUGAAACUCAAAGGAAUUGACGGGGGCCCGCACAAGCGGAGGAACAUGUGGUUUAAUUCGAUGAUACGCGAGGAACCUU